UACGGAGGGAGCUAGCGUUGUUCGGAAUUACUGGGCGUAAAGCGCGCGUAGGCGGCUCUGUAAGUUAGAGGUGAAAGCCCGGGGCUCAACCCCGGAAUUGCCUUUAAGACUGCAUCGCUAGAAUCCGGGAGAGGUGAGUGGAAUUCCGAGUGUAGAGGUGAAAUUCGUAGAUAUUCGGAAGAACACCAGUGGCGAAGGCGGCUCACUGGACCGGUAUUGACGCUGAGGUGCGAAAGCGUGGGGAGCAAACAGG
rnacentral:rRNA from 1 species